CGUGUAGGCGGUCCGGUAAGUCGGCUGUGAAAGUCCAGGGCUCAACCCUGGGAUGCCGGUCGAUACUGCCGGACUAGAGUUCGGAAGAGGCGAGUGGAAUUCCCGGUGUAGCGGUGAAAUGCGCAGAUAUCGGGAGGAACACCAAUGGCGAAGGCAGCUCGCUGGGACGUUACUGACGCUGAGACGCGAAAGCGUGGGAGCAAACA
rnacentral:rRNA from 1 species